GCCCAUUUAGAGCAGUGGUUAGCUCGCUCAUCUCCGGCGUACUCUGGACAAUGAGAAGGCGGGGGUUCGAAUCCCCAAUGGGUG